GGAGGCAGGAAAAACCCAGCGUCCAGGCCACUUACCGAGCCGAGGAGGGACCUAGAUUCCCGCCGCUCCGCUCUCGCGGUGGCCGGUCCGCCCUCCGCGCACCCCGAGGCUGCACCCAGCACCCCAGACGCGAGACGUGGAGGAACGCUGUGAACGAGCCGGGAGACCCUCCAAGUUGCUCUGGGCUCCGUGGAGCGUCAAGGUCCAAGACACAACUUGGCAAAGACUUGUGCCACAGUCACCGAAGAUGUUUGUGCGGAGACCCUCCUGCGGGGAACGACGGCGCUCGGCGGCGCCCCGCUCUCCUCCUCUCCACCCCCUCACCUCCAGCCCGCCUCCCGCCGGCCGCCCGCCUCCGGGCCGCGAGCCCCUCGGGCGGCUGUCAGCUCCCGGCCGCCGCCGGGUGACAGGGGCGGGAGGAGGGCGCGACGCGGCGGCCCGAGCCCCAGCGGGCGAGGGGGAUCCUCGCAGCCGCGGCGGCCGCUCACCUGGAAAGUCACCGCUGAGGAGGAGGAGAAGGAGGACGGGGAGGAGGAGGGAGAGGAGGAGGGGGAGGAAACCCCCCUGGUGCCCUUGUUCUCGCUGCCGCGGCGGCCGCUCCUCGCCAAGGCUGAGCGUGUCUGGUGGGGGGUGUCUGGUAGCAUUUCCUUAAGGACAGAGGGAGGGCGGGCGCGGAGGGAGGGAAAAGAUCCCGACCGCCAGCCCAGGCUCCUCUUGCCUUUAUUUAUUUUUCUGACACUGUACGGAGAUGGGCCCGGGGCAGGGGCCGCCGGGCUCAGGCGGGAGCCGCGAGGCCCGGGCCGCAGCUGUCUGCGUGCGGGAGCCGCAGCGGCCGCCUCCCCUCCCGGGCUGUGGACGCACCGGGUUAUUCCUGGCAGCGCCUCCCCGAACAGAAGUUACUAGGAGGAGUGCGCGGCGAGGGCGGACGGGGGGAGAGGCGGAGGGAGGGAGGGAGGAAGAGGGAGAGACUCAGCCAACGACGUCAUCGGAUCCCCCAGCGCGUCCCAGGGAGGGAGGCUGAACCAGAAAAACCAGUCUGGAGCCAGUGAGCGAGAGAGGGAUGUGCGGCGCGCGGGGCGACGGGGGAGGGAGGCGGUCGGGAGGGCAGGGCCGGGCCCCACGGCUGCCGCUGCGGGCGGGGAGAUCGCGGCCGCGCACUCGCUCGGUCGGAGCGGGGAACUCCCCGGAGAGCUGGUCUCUACUUGUCAUGCAAAAAAACUUGGGCAUCUCUAGGAGCCUGAGAAUUUCCUUUAAGGAUGUGGAAACGUCCUCCGUCCCCACCCCUUCCCCAUUUCCCAGAGAAUCGUUGUCUGCCUUCCUGACGAACGGAAUUGUAUAAUUAGUAGUGCCCUUAGAUUUGGAACCAGUACUCCGGAUCCCUGGCCUCUCCUCGCCCCCUGCCUCUACUCACAAUUAUGUUAUCGGUCAAGAAAAGCAAAAUCAGACUGUGGCUCCCGGCUGGGUUUCUGGAGCUUUGUAGGGUUUUACUAGCACUUUCCGUGCCCCUGCGGGCGCGCGAACUAUUCACGUGCUCGAAACGCCCGGAUUACCUUCCCUGAGGUCACUCACCAGGGUGCCCCCGGCACCCCCAGUUCGGGGACCGCGGCCCGCCCUCGCCAGGGGAUUCAAAUAGGUGUGGGCAGCGGCGCGAAGAGCAGCUGCCGGUUUCCUGGUGGGCCGCGCUGGAACCUCGGGGCGAGCUGCCACCUUCAGCCUGUGCGCUUCCCUCUCCACGGAAGGGACCGGAGUUGAAAUCACAACCAACCCUGGGAGAGCGGGGCCGGGAGGCGGGGGAAUCCCAGGCGAGUGGGAGCCGAAGCUCUGGGCUUCCUCCCCGGCCGGGCGACACCCGGGGGACACCGGGGCUCUCUCGGGCCGUUACCCUGCCUAUGUGGACUGGUGUGCACCCUCGGGGGAGGUUCCUAGGGUGCCACGGUGCCCGAGCGCGACGAGUGACUGCUGGGGAGGGGGGCCGGGUCCCGGAGCGCCUCCUCCGGGUGGUCUCCCCCCCAGCGGGGACCGCGCGCAGCACCUCGCGGGCGCCCCAGCCCCCGCACCCUGCGGAGCAGAGCCGAGCGCCCAGGACGCCGCGGGCCCCAGCGGUCCUCCCCACCCCCUGGCCGCGCCGCCGCCCUGCCCGGGGCGGAGUAAACAAGAGACGCGCAAGAUUUGACCUGGCGCGACCCGGCUUUCUGGCCGGGGUUCCCCCUGAGCAGGUGACUCCGUGGGAGGGGUGGAAAUGAGUCUCUGGAAUUCCGGGCCAAAGACAAUAACUGUGGUUCUGCUUUUAAAGCAGGUAUUUCACCAGCAACUGCGGAAUGUUUUGUGUCUCCAGUUUCAAAUUUCGCGGAAAGGGACCAAAUGUGAGGACAUAUAAAAUAUCCCCUUCUCUUUUCAUUAAAAAUGAGUGCAUUACAAAGGAAGGGCAGCCCCUUAAUGCCUGCGAGAAUAGCGCUGCUGGUUUCGUUUUUGUUUUGUUUUGUUUUGUUUUUCAUUCUGACCCACAAUCAGUGUAUUUUUGAGGUCCCUAUGCAAUGGCGACGGUGCCGUGAAGGGCAACUCAGCAAAAUAAAGCGGUGAUACAUUUUUUAACCGAUUUUUUUCUCAGAGGAGAAAAAUCUGAACAAUUUGGCCUAAGUUUCACUUUGUCCUUCUCUUAGGUUGAUCUCAUUUAAAUUCAGGGCCUACUUCCACUUAAGCAACUUCUUCUUUCAUUGUAUAGGUUCUUUAAUAUCCAACCUUUUUAAACUUAACUUGAAGCCUUUAAUUUAAAAAACUGUCCCAAUCAUCAUUUUCUUUUCAAUGUAUGCAGUUGCAUUUUAAACAUCCAUUUAACACACAAAAUGUGAUUUUUGAAAUUUUUUUCACUUUCAAACCCACCUGCUACAUACUCCCAGAGAGCGUUUUAUUUAAUUGCUUAAUAGAGAAGAUUAAGCAGUUUCUUUAAGAAUCCAAUUUCCCUUCAACAAGCACAACAGCAGCUGCCCAAGCUCCCAGAAACUAAGCAAAGGCAAGUAGCAGGCAGCGUUUUGCUUCACUAGAAUGAAUGUUAGUUGAAACCUUAAAUACCUCUUUAAAAGACUAGAUUAAAGAGAAUAAUGGGAAUAUUAAGAUACUCCGGUAGUUAGUUAAAAUAUUUUUUAAGGAAAACCAGGCAGAUAUACAUCUAUUUUGAUGAUUUGAUCCCACCUUCAAAGAGGAUCCCUGAAAAGAGUUUUAGUCACAAUUUGACAAAUUUUAAAUAAUUACUUUGUUUCAGAGUCAUGAGGAUGGAAAGAAGAUAGCCUGCGUUGAGUUGAAGUAAAGUAAAAAUAUUAUGAAUAUGUGUAACUAGGUGACAUCCUCUCUGCUGGGAAGAAUCCUUUUUUUUUUUUUUUUUUUUUUUCUGGUGACAGGUUCUUGCUCCAUCACCCAGGCUGGAGUGCAGUGGCAUGAUCUUGGCUCACUGCAGCCUCUCCCUUUCAGGCUCAAGCAAUCCUCCCACCUCAGCCUCCCGAGUGGAGGGGGAGCCACUGCAGAUCUGGAGCAAAUCAGCACCAGCCACUCCAGAGCCUGACCUACAUAGGACUCAGAAAGCAUUGUCUAUUGUGAUUGAUUAUUCCUGUGUUCAGUCCCAAUGGCCUAUUGAUUGGGGGUUUCUCUCCAAAAGGCUGCAUGGCUUUUCUUCUCUAAGUGAAUCUCCUUUAUAACCCAUAUUUUAUGUCUAUAUACCAAACAUGCUAUCCAUAUUUAGUCAAUGUCCAGUUGCUUGCAUGUAAGGGCAAUAGAGUAAUCAGAAAACUCUUCCCAGAAAGCCCCCGAAGACAAAACUAGUACUGGUAGAAAACUGGGCAUGCAGCUCUAAGAAACUCUAUGGGAAGUGAGGCUGGGUGGGGCACAGCUGCCCCAGCCUGGCACCCAUAUGGAGCAUCAGCAAGGAAGUAGGAACUUUCUUUUCAUCAUGCAUCCUUCUUAUCACUUCUCAGUUUCAAAGGGAAAGAAAAUUUGGUAAUCUGCAUUUUGAGACAUUAAGAAAAUAAAAUAAUUAAUGGCUUCAUGGUUAUAUGGCAUUUUUCAGAGUAUUGUCAGAAAAUCAUUUCGAACUGAAAUUUUCAUUCAAAAAUAUUUAUUGAAUGCCGGCUAUGUGCUGAAGAUUCUUAAGAUACAUCAGUGAACAAAUCAAAGUUCCCUGCUUUCUUGGAGCUUGCAUUCCAGCGGGAGGAGAGGAUUUGGAGGAAGAAUGGGAUAGACAAUAAAUCACAAGACCUCCUGCCACAGAGCAUGGGACCUGAUAUAUCCAGGCAGGAGAACUGGGUACCAGGAGACACUGUACAUGAAGUUUCCAGAACCAGCCAUGUCCAUCUUACUAAUCAAGACUCUCUCUGUUAAAUCUGCAACUCAAAUGACUUUAAGGAAAAAUGGAUUUCAUUGAUUCACAUAACCAUCACUCAAGGACUAACUUUCAACAUAGUGAGAUCCUGAGGCUCAAAUAUUAUUACCCGGGUUCCAUGAACUGCUUCCUCUGACAUGAGAUCUAACAAGGCUAAAGACUAAAAUGCAGCUGUUUACAGCGUAAGUAGGAGGCCGUCCCGUGCAGUGCAAAAUCAACAGAGAGGAGACAGUCCUAUGCCUUCGAGAGACAGUCUGCUGAUACUGUCAUGAUGUCUAGUGACAGGCCAGAGAUCAAAACCCAACACCCUCAUUUACCUGACAGUGAUUUGGCCAAUCCCUUAACAUCUCUAAGAGCUUCAUUUUUCUACAAAAUUGAGACAAUAGUAUUUGUUUCAUAGUGUUACUGUCAGGGUUAAAUGUUAUACAUUAAGCAUUUAAUAUAUGCUGCUUGUUUAUCUAAAUAUUCAUGGUCAGGCACUAACUUCUUAUGUGACUCUGAGCAAUGCAUUCAUCUCUGUACCUGUUUCCUCAUCCAUAAAUUGGGAGUUGAACAAGGUGAGCCCUAAGUUUCGUUCCAACUUCAAUAUUCUAUAAUUCUUGCAACUUAUAUGGCCUCAGUUUUCUUAUCUUUAUAAUGGGCAUAAGAGUACCUACCUCACAGAAUUUUUGAGAGGAUAAAAUGAAUUAAGACAGGUAGAAAAUUCUUAGAACAGUGCCUGCCACAUUGGAAGUGCUUAAUAUGUAUUAGCUGUGAUGAUGCUGCUAAUGAUGAAGAUGAUAAUGACCCUAUUUGCAGAUAGUAUGGCAGCCAUAAAACAUUCAGUAUCAGAUUGAUUACAUUCUCUUAUUUUCUGAGUCAAUGCCAGAGCUACCAAGAUUUUAUUCUUUAAAGGUUCUUCAAGACUAAAUUCUUUUUACAUGAUAUGAUUAUUACACAUUGUAUGUCCGUAUCAGACCAGCCUGGCCAACAAGGUGAAACCCCAUCUCUAAAAAUACAAAAAUUAGCAGGGCAUGGUGGCACGCACCUGUAGUCCCAGCUACUCGGGAGGCUGAGGCAGGAGAAUCACUUGAACCCGGGAGGCAGAGAUUGCAGUGAGCUGAGAUCGUGCCACUGCACUCCAGCCUGGCAGAGUGAGACUCCAUCUUAAAAAAUAAAUAAAUAAAUAAAUAAAUAAAUCUCAUGUACUCCAUAGAUAUGGGGUACCUACUAUGUACUCACAAAAAUUAAUUUUUUUUUAGAAAAGCCUAAGCUCAUUUGCUUCUUAGUAAGAAUUAUGUUAAGAUUUCCCAGUGUAGAUACCCUAGGCUGCUAAUUUUUUUUCUUUUGUUAUCAGUAUCUUAAGAAAUUAAUUGGCCCGGGAGUGGUGGCUCAUGCCUGUAAUCCCUGCAGUUUGGAAGGCCAAGAUGGGAGGAUUGUUUGAGGCCAAGAGUUCAAAACCAGCCUGGGCAACAUAGUGAGAUACUAUCUGUAUAUAAAAUAAAAAAAUUAGUGAGGCAUGGUGUCAUAAGCCUGUGGUCCCAGCUACUUGGGAGGCUGAGGUGAGAGGAUUGCUUGAGCCCAGGAGGUCAAGGCUGCAGUGAGCUGUGAUGGUGACACUGCACUCCAGCCUGGGCUAUAGAGCAAGACCCUGUCACCCUCCUCAAAAAAAAAAAAAAAAAGCAAUUAAUUGAUUUAUUUAUGGCCAUUCUCUCUUUUUGUGAGCUGGAUAUGUGUUCACUUUCAUUCUAAAAACGUACAGCCCCCAAAGCCCACACAUGUUGUCAAAGCUCACUACAUUUACCUAGAGAGUUUCCUGUAGUCUCCUCUUUCAAGUAUUUUAAAUAAUGCGUAAUUUCUUCAUGUAACUGAAACAUGUUAAUGUUGAGUUGGCACAGGAAGAAAAGUUUUGAUUUACUCAGAACUGGGAUUUGUGUGGGUCAUUUCCUAGUCCUCCUAAGUAUUUAACAAAUGUAAAAUGUAACACACAAUUAAAUAAGCUACCCAAGCCAAAUGAACUGGUGAGUGCAUUAUAAAUAGCAACCAAAAUUAUUCUUCAGUUGUUAACUGGUAUGUCCUGAUUUAAUAAUGAAUUACAUCAUUUGACAAAUGAGAUAAGACUUCCACCUUUAGCUUUCUGAUCCAAACUUCUAAUAGUUGAAAUGUAUUAUUACCAUCUGGUGUCUGGCCUCUGAAAUGCCCUGGCGAUAUCUGCCUCAUUUCAAGUAGUUGGGGCUUGCAUAUGCCAGCAAAGCACUCUCCGAAGUGUCUUGAUUGGCAGGCCCAGAGAGAAGGCUAAGAACCGAAUGAACCAUGGAGAUAUAGCUCCAGCUCUGUAGAAGUUUCCUCUGGUUCAAGGCAGACUCAUUUUCUUAGUUUGUGCAGCAAAAAAAUUGUCAUGAUCGAAGUUGUUUUUAUUUUGGAUCUCAAUCCUGAAGGAUGCAAUUCCUAUACUUACCAAGAAUGUUUCCAUCUGUUUUAAAUUAUUUCACUCCUUUUACAAACUGGCAAUAAUUUUAACACCUUUUAUUUUCAGUGAAAAUAAUUCGAGAAUGAAGCUGAGAAUGAUACAUAAGCCUAGAGUUUUAACUCAGUGAAGUAAUAUGAUUCUGACAGUUCUUUAUUUUUUCCACAUUGUGUUAGAUUCCUAGUAAAAAGGGAAGAUGAAUCUUAUUGCUUUCAAAAACCUGACAAUAUGGUAUGUAGGACAGAAUGAACAUACAUAGAACAAUAUCCAAUAACACAGAUGAAGGUGUCAAAGCCAUUGCCAGACAGAGUGGUGCAGAUUGUGAGAUCAGUUUUCUUGCAUGUGAGGACACAAGAAGCCCAGAGUCUGCAACCUGAAAGAGGGCCCUCACUAGAACCCAAUCAUGCUGACGCUGUGAUCUUGGACUUUCAGGCUCCAGAACUGUGAGAAAUAAAUUUCUGUUGUUUAUAAGCCAUCCAUUUCAUGACAAUUUGUUAUAGUGGCCUGAACAAAGACAAUAGGUAUAAAAGAGAAUUGAUAAAGAUGAAAUUUAGGAAUACAAUUAGAAGUGAAAUGCAAAUAACAAGAGGGUGACCCCGGAGUAGAAAAGUGUCUGUGUCUGGUAGAUUUGAAUAGUUUACAAAUGCCAAGCCUGUGCAAAAUAGGAGUUACCAAUAUUAAUGGCUGCAUCAUUACAAGGUGUAUCCAAAAGACACUUAAGAUUAAGUCUGUGUUUGUCAGUGGGGAGGUGAGAGUAGGAAAUGUUAAAUAACCUGCCCUUUGUCACUCAGCCAACAAGUAAGAGAGCAGGGAAUCAAGUUCAGAUCUAAGUCCUCUAAAGUUAUUCCCCAAACUCCUCACAGCUUCACUUAAUAACCAUUUCCUGCUUUGGUUGACUUUACAAAGAUGACCAUACAUUUGAGAGCAAAAGGGGAAGCUAUGAAUCAUUACAUCUGGACAAAUGGCAUGAAUCAAGAUCAUCCACUGCCAACUAGAGUGUAUGUUCAUCUUCUGUCUAUAUAUCUUCAUUCCCAGACAUCUACCAGACAUCCAGUGACUUAUCUGAGAAGUACACUUGGAGGUCAGUUUCUUGGAGUAAAUUGAUCAAAGUGUUAAAAUUCUGGAAAGUUAUUGUAUUUUAAAAUAGUUCACACAAAAAAAUAGUACAAUGAAAUGAAUCACUAUUAGUGGAAUUUCAGGCCCUCAGGUACCUGAUAAUAAGAACUCUUUCAAAACAACAUAACUUUCCUGGUACCUGUCAAAUCACAAUUUCUAUAUGAGAUAUGGCCAGCUGGGUAUUCAAGGAUAAUUGGUCAGCUACUGUGAUGAUUAAUAUGGAGUGUCAACUUGUUUGCAUUGAAGGAUGCAAAGUAUUGUUCCUGGGUUUGUCUGUGAGGGUUGUAUUAGUCUGUUUUCAUGACACUGAUAAAGACAUAUCUGAGACUGGGCAAUUUACAAAAGAAAGAGGUUUAUUGGACUUUCAGUUCCACAUGGCUGGGGAGGCCUCACAAUCAUGGUGGAAGGUGAAAAGCACAUCUCACAUGGCGGCAGACAAAAGCAGAGAGCUUGUGCAGGGAAACUCUCAUUUUGAAAACCAUCAUAUCUCAUGACACUUAUUCACUAUCAUGAGAACAUCAUGGGAAAGACCUGCUCCCAUGAUUCAAUUACCUCCCACUGGGUCACUCCUACAACACGUGGGAAUUCAAGAUAACAUUUGGGUGAGGAUACAGCCAAAUCAUAUCAAGGGUGCUGCCAAAGGAGAUUAACAUUUGAGUCAGUAGACUGGAAGAGGCAGACCCACCCUCAAUCUGAGUGGUUACCAUCUAAGCAUCUGCCAAUGCAGCUAGAAUAAAGCAAGCAGAAGAAAGUGGAAUGAGAAGACUUGCUGAGUCUUCUGGUCAUCAUCUUUUCCCCAUGCUGGAUGCUUCUUGCCCUUGAACAUCAGACUCCAAGUUCUUCAGCUUUCAGACUCUUGGACUUAGAGCAGUGGUUUGCUAGGGGCCCUCAGGCCUUCAGCCACAGACUGAAGCCUGCACUGUCGACUUCCCUACUUUUGAGGUUUUGGUACUUGGAUUGGCUUCCUUGCUCCUCAGCUUACAGCUGGCCUAUUAUGGGACUUCACCCUGUGAUCGUGAGUCAAUUAUCCUAAUAAACUCCCCUUCAUAUAUACAUAUAUAUUAUUAGUUCUUACCUCUAGCGAACCCUGACUAAUACAGAUUUCUAGAUGUACAGAUGGAUUGAGAGGCAAACACUCUAAAUUAACAAGGCAGAAAUGAAAGAGCUGUUCUGCCCAAGAUCUUCAGCACUGCUCAGACCUCUAUAAGAAUUUCUUAUCCAGUUCAAAACUUAUCAACUUAAGAAAAAUAUAGAAAAUUUGUAAAGCAUUCAGAAGAAACUAAAGACUAAAGCAAAAUGAUAUGUUCAAAUACUUAACACUGCCAAAAUGUAAUGCAUUUCAAUAAAGUGAUAUAUGUCCUUAACUCACACAAAUUAAUAAAUGUCUAAUAGACAUACAUAUGGGAAGUGAAUAUCAAAUGCCUGUGUACUAUUUGUAUAAAAUCUAAGUUAAAACUCAUUUCCAUCCCAAAGAUGUGUGAUAUGUAAAAUAAUAUUCUACGUAUUUUGUUUAAUUUUGGGGGGUCAUUUAAGAUUUUUUUAUUUGCAGAAAAAAGAUGCUACAAACAAAAUUAAUGGGAAAAAACAAAAAUUAGUACCAAAAGAGGAAACGAGGACAAGGAAAAACACGAGCACAUAGAAAAAUGUAAAAAUACUCAAGCCAGGCUCAGAGAACCAGCAUCCCUGACAGCAAGUGUUGUUAAACAUCCACGUGGGUUGCUAAGGAAGGUUAGGGAAUCUCCCUUUCCCAGAAGUCUUUAAAAAUAGGAUAACAUCUGUUUGGAUGGGAUAAUGGUGGUACUGCUUGACUUGGCAGCUUCUUAAGCAAACCUAUGGUUUGGUAAUUCUACCAUUUCUAUUUCUGAUUUGAAAAGUAACAAAUAACUUCAGUUCACCUAGAAAAUUGGGCCUUAUAAUGACUUGUAAUAUUGUCUUAUAAAACUAUUUUCAUUGUCAUUAAUAGUGCAAAGGUAGAUAAUUGAGGUUUUCAGAGUAUACUUGAAUUUGCAGCCAAGGCUCAAACUUUCCUUAUCUAUUUGUAACAUUUCCUCCAAAAUAUUAGAAAACCAGAGAUGUACUGAGUUUAUCCUUACAAGAAAGUUAUAGAUAAAGCAUUGCACAUAAUCCUAUAUUCAAUUUUUAACUUCAACUGAGUAAUGCCUGUAUUCAGUGGGGCAGAGCUUAUAAGAAGUCUAGAUUAUAUAAACCCUAUUAAAAAUUGGAGUCUGCCAGACCAAUAACCCAAGGGGUAAAACAUAUAUAUUUGGUCCCUGGAGAGAAUUUAGACUGUGAUCCAGAUGUAUCUGUACUCCUCUUACCAUAACCAAAUUUUGCUUUCUACUAUACUACCAGACUGUUUGCCCCCAUUCCUUUUCACUGCACAUAUAUUUGUUGAGCUCCUACUUUUGGUCAGGUGUGGAGAGAAAAAGCCCACAGUCCCUGCCCUUGAGGAACACAUAAUCCAAAAAAAAAUGCAUGGGUGGCUCCAGGUGUUGUAGGGUCUUAGGCAAGUAUAAUUUUGGACAUGCAUUUUAAGAAAAAGAAUACAAAAUUACAAAUGCAGAAUUACUAAUAAAAGUGAAUAUUUAUUGUAUAGAGAAAAUUAAUCACAACAAAUUACAAGUUUUAGCAUUCUCACAAAUGCCAGAAAUACCACAAAAUCUCAGAAAAAAACCUAUAUUUUGUAUUAAUUAGCUGACUGAUCACAUGUAUAAUUCUACGUGUUCUACUUUUGGUUGCAUAUUGUUGACCACAUGAGAAAAAUUUCUUUAUUUACUUAUUCAGAUGGAGUUUCGCUCUGUCGCCCAGGCUGGAGUGCAGUGGCGCUAUCUCAUCUCACUGCAACCACUGCCUCCCAGGUUCAAGCGAUUCUCCUGCCUCAGCCUCCCGAGUAGCUGGGACUACAGGGGCAUGCCACCAGGCCCAGCUAAUUUUUGUAUUUUUAGUAGAGACGGGGUUUCACCAUGUUGGCCAGGAUGGUCUCAAUCUCUUGACCGCAUGAUCCACCCGCCUCGGCCUACAAAAGUGCUGGGAUUACAGGCGAGAGCCACCACGCCAGGCCAAGAAUUGUUUAUAUUAUUUUCUAUACAGAGAAAACAGUGAUAAUUUAUUCAGUCAUUCCUUUGGCAUGAUUGAAAUUUGUUUUCUUUCUGGCUCACAACUCUUUAAUAAUUAUAAGUAAGUUUUCAGGAUUGUUGUCAAGUACAGGAAAACUUCAGUCAAAUUUCUUUCAUAUAUGAACUGCAAGAGCUAUAAGAUUUCAGGGCAUUGAUAAUUUUCUUGCAUGUAAGUAAUUUUAAAUACUCUUUCAAUUGAUGUUACUCAUUAACCAGCUUGUCACUGGUGUCCUUGUUGUAAUGGUGUAGUGUGAGUUCAAUUUUAUCUCUGUCAAUGUCAGGAUUGUGUAUCAAAUUUGAAAGAAAUUUAAGUAUUUUCUCAAAGAGUUCAUGUGAUUCAGUCCUCUGGGUUAAAUGUGUUAUCAAAAACUAAAAAGCCCAUUCAGUACUUCCCUCUUCCUGUUAAUGAAUUAUUGCUCUUUGUAUUAUCUAAAAAUAUUUCUGUUACAAUUUACUUCUUGAUGUCAAAGUGAUUUCUAUUUGACUUUAUCUCUCAAUUGUUUUUUCAUAUCCUAUCAAAUUUCAUCUGCAUUUUCUCCCAGUUUCUUAUUACAUUAAUUCAUAGAUGACAAAAGAGUUACUCUUCAUAUAUGCCCAUAUUAGGAGUCAUUGAUUUCUGUGGGUUUUUAAUUGAAAAGAUCCAAAACAUCUAUGCAAAUUCCAGUUAAAAUGAAGUAUUUAUGUCUUAUUAAUUUUUUGAAUAAUCUGUUCACUUCUUGUUUUUGUUACUCUUCCAUGACUUUAAAAAUAUAUUUCAGGGUCAUUAAAUUGCACUGUACAAUGUUUUAAGACUUGAGAAGCUUUAGUGUGGGCAAACCAAACCAUGUUGUUACCUUUAGACUCUUAAAAGAAAUACUCUUGUUGGCAUUUUAAAAGUUGAGGUAAAAUUACCAUUCAAUAAAAUGUACAUAUCAUAGUGUUCAGCUCAAUGAGUUUUGAAUAGGCCAGGCGCAUUGACUCACUCCUGUAAUCCCAGCACUUUGGGAAGCCAAGGCAGGUGGAUCAUGAGAUCAGGAGUUCAAGACCAGCAUGACCAACAUGGUGAAACCCCGUCUCUGCUAAAGAAUACAAAAAUUAGCCAGGCGUGGUGGCACGUGCCUGUAGUCCCAGCUACUUGGGAGGCUGAGGCAGGAGAAUCGCUUGAACCUGGGAGGCGGAGGCUGCAGUGAGCCGAGAUAGCACCACUGCACUCCAGCCUGGGCGACAGAGCGAGACUCUGUCUCAAAAAGACAAAACAAAUAGAGGGCAUUUCCAGCAUCCAGAAAGUUCCCUUUCUCAUCCGUACCCCCUUCCUCAUCCAUCCUCACCCCCAGAGCAACCCUUUUCUAAUUCUGUCACCAUAAUACAUUUCGCCUACUCUCAGACUUCACAUCAGUGGAAUCACUCAGUAUGUAAUCUUUUGUGUCUUAUUUUGCUCAGCAUGAUUUUGAGAAUCAACCACAUUGUUGCAUGUAUGGACAGUUUGUUCUGUCUUAUUAUGAAGUGUUAUUUCACUAUAUAAAUAUACCAUUAUUUGUUUAUUCAUUCUCCUAUCGAUGGACAUUUAGGUUCUUUCCAGCUGGGGCUGUUAUUAAUAAGGAUGCUUUGAAUGUUCUUAUACAAGUCUUUGCAUGGACAUGUGUUUUCAUUUCUCUUGGCUACCUAUCUGAGAAUACAAUUGUUCAGUAAUAGAGUAGAUAUAUGUUUAACUUUAUUAGAAACAUGGCAUAUGUAUUUUACGUACUCCCUCUAUAAGAAAAACACAAAAACAAGACAUGUAAUUGUUGCACAAUACUGAAGUGGCCCAAGAAUUAGGGUUCCUUAAAGGAAGCCUUCUUCCACCUGUAUUGAUCAUCCAUGGUAUUGAUCAUCCAUGGCUCCUCACCAGGCAUCAUUCUUUGGGUCAGCUAGGCAGAAUGACUUGCUGCUCCCUGAGUAUGUGAUGCAGUCUCUUCCCUAUGAGUCUCCCUACUAGGUACUUCCUCUGACUGGCUGCUCUGCUCUCAUCCUUUACCUGCCCUGUCUAAUCUUAAAGACUGGAUUUAAUCAUUUUCAUCUCUGGGAGGCCUUUCAUACCACCCUCCCCAAACCCCCAUCAUCACUGUCAAGGUUGAAUUAAGUGUCUCUUCUCUGUGCUCCCAUAGAAACUCAGGUUUUUCUCUAUAACUGCUAGUCUAUUUGUCUAUCUCCACUGCUAGACUAUAAGCUCCCUAUGGGUGGAAUCCUGUUCACUGUUAUGAUCUAUUGCCUAGCAAAGUUCUUGACCCAGAAUAGGUGCCUGACAAGUAUCAAUUGAAUCCAUGAAUAAAUAGUUGAGCAGGUUUGAUGUUGUUGGCAUUGGGUGAAGUUUAUUUAUACUUUAUGAUAUUCAGGUAGAAAUAGGUUGUUAGUUGUAUAGGUCUGGAGUUCAAAUAUUGGGCUUACGGGCAGGAGGAGGACAAGAGGUAUGGAUAUGGGAACUCCCCUUACUUUCAGUCACAUUGUAUACAGGUAAGAACUGAAAGUUUGGGAUUCAAUACAAAUACUUGAGGAAAGUUUCCAGUUUUGAAGAUAAUUAAGAGAGAAUGAGAGAAGGGGCCAAAUUGCAGUAGAUUAUGGUGUAAAUGAAAAGAGAAGGGGAGAAAUGCAAACAGUAUAGACAGAUAAUUCAAGAAUUUUGGUGCUGAGAUUCCAAGUAGAGCAAUUACAAUAUGUCCCAACAAACAGAUGAGAUUGGAUAAUGUUGUUUCUUUCACUUUUAUUUUUGUUAGUUUAAGAAGGAAAAGACAGCUAAGACUAUCGAAGGACCAGUGUCAUUGGACAGAGGAAAUUCUGUGACAGGUAUGAGAAGAUACAAAUGAGACAAAUUUAGUUCAUAUAAAGUUUUUACUGAGGUCUCACACCAUUAAGUCAUGAUAUGAGUUGGUUGGUUUGUUUGUGUCAUGAAUAGGGACUGCCUGAC
rnacentral:lncRNA from 1 species